rnacentral:tRNA from 1 species
GGUGAGGUGUCCGAGUGGCUGAAGGAGCACGCCUGGAAAGUGUGUAUACGGCAACGUAUCGGGGGUUCGAAUCCCCCUUGGAGUGCAA